rnacentral:rRNA from 1 species
UUUAUAAAGUGCCAACACAGUGUGCUAAAGGGAAACAGUAAGAACACUGAGUGCUACACGUUAGUUAGUGGCGGACGGGUGAGUAACGCGUGGAUAACAUACCUAGUAGACCGGGACAACCCUUGGAAACGAGGGCUAAUACCGGAUAAGCUUAAUCGGUGGCAUCACUGAUUAAGGAAAGAUGGCCUCUGAAGAUGCUAUCGUUAGUAGAUGGAUCCGCGUCUGAUUAGCUAGUUGGUGGGGUAAAGGCCUACCAAGGCGACGAUCAGUAGCCGGCCUGAGAGGGUGAACGGCCACACUGGGACUGAGACACGGCCCAGACUCCUACGGGAGGCAGCAGUGGGGAAUCUUCCGCAAUGGACGAAAGUCUGACGGAGCAACGCCGCGUGUACGACGAAGGCCUUCGGGUUGUAAAGUACUGUCUUCAGGGACGAACGGUAAGUAUGUAAAU